rnacentral:rRNA from 1 species
AACGAACGCUGGCGGCAUGCCUAACACAUGCAAGUCGAACGAGACCUUCGGGUCUAGUGGCGCACGGGUGCGUAACGCGUGGGAACCUGCCCUUAGGUUCGGACUAACUCCCCGACAGGGGUGCUAAUACCGGAUAAUGUCUUCGGACCAAAGAUUUAUCGCCUUUGGAUGGGCCCGCGUUGGAUUAGCUAGUUGGUAGGGUAAAAGCCUACCAAGGCGACGAUCCAUAGCUGGUCUGAGAGGAUGCUCAGCCACACUGGGACUGAGACACGGCCCAGACUCCUACGGGAGGCAGCAGUGGGGAAUAUUGGACAAUGGGCGAAAGCCUGAUCCAGCAAGGCCGCGUGAGUGAUGAAGGCCUUAGGGUUGUAAAGCUCUUUUACCCGGGAUGAUAAUGACAGUACCGGGAGAAUAAGCUCCGGCUAACUCCGUG